ensembl:lncRNA
GUGGAAUUGAACAGAUUUCGUUUAUUUAUUCCUACAGCUGCUGCAGGAAAGUUGCAGAAUGUGGAGGAAUUUAGUCUCACAAUCACAGACAACAAAUAUUAUCUGAAAGUCGGGUUAUUGUUGUUUAUCAGCACAAUACAAAAAGAUUAAUGUUAGAAAUAUUCCAGUUAAGACUCUAGAAUAUCAUGAUUUAUGUAAAUUUACCUCAAUAAUAUGAAUGUUCACGUUAAGAUUGUACAGUGAUAUUUAUUAUGUAAGUUUAGCUGAUUAAAGUUUAUGACUCUGCACUAAAAUAUUAUUUAAAUUGACAUCAUUAUUAUAAUAUUUAGGGUCAGACCCUACAGUAUUGAGAUUAAGAAAUCAAAUAUUCUAUAAAAUGUAAAUACUCUGAACUCAUUUGGAUAUAUUUAAGUGAGACUCUACAAUAUUAUUUGACACAAAUCUAUCUAAAUCAAAAUUUUAAUAAUUUUCACACCAAACAUUUACUGGACUGAUUUAAAUAUUAAAAUCACUGCUUUCUAAUCCUCUGCUGUACGUUCAAACCCGAGGCCUUAAAUAGAAACACACAAGUAUCUGAUUGAAGGAACUUCUGCAGAGUCCUGGUUCCAGAACAUGAUGAUAGAAUUAUAGACAAACUUUAACAAAAGCUGCCUGAGAGUUUACAGGUUUUUAUGUUAGAUUUCUUCAGUAAUUUAAUGAGAGUUAUCAGCAAAAAUCAAGUGUUCAUUUGAUGAACUUCAUUUCCUAAAACAUCCAUAAUUGGAGCUCAUAUCUUUGGCAACUAUAAAGUUUCUGCUCCUUCAAAGUUCACAACACAAUGAAUGAAUUCCUAAAACACUCUCAAUGCUGGAGAGCGUUUGUGAUGCUGAAGCAGUGAUCAGUUUUUCUGUUUCUUCUCUGGAGAUACACAAUGAGGGACGUCUGCAGAGACUGAGAAAGAGUCUCACCACAUCCUGACAUGAGGAAAAAGACUUUAUUGAAGACUACAAUGAGAAAAACUAUCAGACAGCAGACAGCUGCAUUCAAGUCUGUAGCUGCUGAAUUCAUGGAUGAAUCAUCUGGCACUAGAGAGGAAGACCAUCAAACAUCCAUGUCAGCUGAUGGAGGUCCAAGAGUCUCACCAAACAAACAACCUACAGAGUGAAGACCUCAAAUCUGAUUGGACGGCCUCCUAUUCAGCCACGUGUGAACAAAUGCCUCUAAGCUGAUUUGUUUUCUAAAAUAAAUCUAGUUUGAGUCCUAAUCUA